AACGAACGCUGGCGGCAUGCCUAACACAUGCAAGUCGAACGAGACCUUCGGGUCUAGUGGCGCACGGGUGCGUAACGCGUGGGAACCUGCCCUUAGGUUCGGAAUAACUCCCCGAAAGGGGUGCUAAUACCGGAUAAUGUCUUCGGACCAAGGAUUUAUCGCCGUUGGAUGGGCCCGCGUUGGAUUAGCUAGUUGGUAGGGUAAAAGCCUACCAAGGCCACGAUCCAUAGCUGGUCUGAGAGGAUGACCAGCCACACUGGGACUGAGACACGGCCCAGAAUCCUACGGGAGGCAGCAGUGGGGAAUAUUGGACUGUGGGCGAAAGCCUGAUCCAACAAUGCCGCGUGAGUGAUGAAGGCCUUAGGGUUGUAAAGCUAUUUUACCCGGGAUGAUAAUGACAGUACCGGGAGAAUAAGCACCGGCUAACUCCGUG
rnacentral:rRNA from 1 species